rnacentral:lncRNA from 1 species
GCCUCACCCAGCCCACAGGAAGUAAAAGUGGGGGCAGAGGAGGGCCCUUGGAUGAAGGUCGAGCUCUGUUCUGGGAAUAGUGGGAAUAUCCUUGAGGCAUUCAUCUCCCAUAGACAGUGAAACUCUCCUUGCCUAUGGAAGGAUAUGACAAACGUGAAGAUUUUGCUUUUAAAUGCUGAAGUUUCCAUUUAAUUUUUGCAUCACAUCUUUAGCACUAUUGGACAUCCUAGAAACCUCAUUCACAAGAUUUCAAGUUUGAAGUGAUAGUGUUUGCUACCAGAGCCCCUUUUCUGUCAAAGAAAUUAGAAGCAGGAAGGUUGAUGCAUUCCCCCACAGAAAGAAAAGAGGUCUUUUAGAAUAAUGUGAAACUCACACUCUGCAUGGGGACAGAGCCACUUCCACUUGCUCCAGGCCACAGAGUUCUCUCUCCCGUGACAGUUUCCUUCCUGUGCAAUAGUAUCGCCUCUGGAACUUCCUCACCUGCCACCUGGUGCUGCUACAUGUCCACGAUGACCAAAGUCAUUAAAACUUCGUAAAAAGCCUGCUUUAGUGAAGAGCUUCUGGCGACGGCCUUUGAAUCUGUGCCCCUGAGGGCUCCAGGGCAGGACUCCAACUGGUGGUGUAAGACUUGCUGUCCUGAUGUGGGUGGCAGUUGCUAGAAGAGGGACUGUUUCAUUUCAUUAGCAGUGAAGUGUGCUGUCAGCCGGCAGUGAUAGCCAUGGGACAAGAUGCAACCCAAUCUGACUCUGAAACAUCCUGUCCUAGCCACCGCUGAGCUCUUCCCCCUUAGGGGGUCGCCAGAAGAGUAUUGAUUGGACAAGGAGAGAGAGCCCUCUUGAAGAGGAAUGGUGCUAAAGUCAACCUGAAGCCUUCUGAAAAUUCAGCGGCCCUAGAACUGCCCCAAAUGCUAUUUACUGCAAAGCAGAAUUCUGUAUCCAGAGGGGUUGUCCUGGACUCCACUCAAGAGGUUUAGCUUUUAAAGAGCCUAAAGGAUUCCUGGCUUAUCUGUUGGUUGGGCUCACAUAUUUUCCCACCGAUAGACAAGAGAUUACCAGAAAAGGGGUGAGGAAUCCAGAGAGAAUGUCUGCAUAAGAAGGAGGGUGGAGAUUUCUUACUGAACUAAAGGCUUCAAGAAUUGGCAAAUACCUGCUCAAAAUGCCUCCUAUUAAAGAUCUGUUUGCCUGCAUCAUAUAUAGUGGCCCACCCUGUCUGCAAUGCCACCUCCUAGAAUGAGACACAGCUGUUUAACUGAUCUAUUCUCAGGACUAAGAGACUGACUAAAGAAGAUACGAGGAUGAUAUAUUUAAAUUUGCUCUUUUCUGUUCCUUCCAAUUUGUCUUUCCAUUUCUUUGUCUAUCUCUAACAAGCUCUAAAACAAAUUUCUCCAAAGCUAUCUGCUUGUCUUUUAAUAUGUGAAUUUUUUUAAGUUUCAAAGUGAUGACUGAAAUAUUUCACCCCAAAAUAUGGCUCCCUGGUAUAGUGAGUAUGUUGAAUUCAACACCCUUAGAGAUCAACAAGCACUAGAAGAGGCUUUUCCCACCUACAUAAAGAUAGGAAUGAUCCACCGAGGAGAACAAUUGCUCUUGUUCUCCUCCGUUAUCUCAUUAUCCAUUACAGGAAAGAAGACCAAGAAUGUAACCACACCUGAACGGAACCUUUUUGAGAUAAUGACUGUCUCUAAGGAUCAUUUACAUUCCAAGAACUACUUACAAGUUAAUUUCUGCUCCCUGAUCCAACCAUUUUCCCUGGUGAUCAUUUAUUGCCCCUCAAUACAAUUAUUCUCCUCCCCAUUCCCAUAACCCAUUCUAUCCGGAUUCAAGCCCCCAUUCUUUCUGUAACCUCAAGAUAGCAGGUAAGCUGCUGUACCACAUUGAGAAGUUGGGUCUUCAUUCUGAAGGUUCCCAUGUGUACACACUAAAUAAGUUUGUAUACCUUUUCCCCUAUUUAUUAUUAUUAUU